rnacentral:rRNA from 1 species
AGAGUUUGAUCCUGGCUCAGAUUGAACGCUGGCGGCAGGCCUAACACAUGCAAGUCGAGCGGAUGAAGGGAGCUUGCUCCCUGAUUUAGCGGCGGACGGGUGAGUAAUGCCUAGGAAUCUGCCUAGUAGUGGGGGAUAACGUUCCGAAAGGAACGCUAAUACCGCAUACGUCCUACGGGAGAAAGCAGGGGACCUUCGGGCCUUGCGCUAUCAGAUGAGCCUAGGUCGGAUUAGCUAGUUGGUGAGGUAAUGGCUCACCAAGGCGACGAUCCGUAACUGGUCUGAGAGGAUGAUCAGUCACACUGGAACUGAGACACGGUCCAGACUCCUACGGGAGGCAGCAGUGGGGAAUAUUGGACAAUGGGCGAAAGCCUGAUCCAGCCAUGCCGCGUGUGUGAAGAAGGUCUUCGGAUUGUAAAGCACUUUAAGUUGGGAGGAAGGGCAGUAAGUUAAUACCUUGCUGUUUUGACGUUACCGACAGAAUAAGCACCGGCUAACUUCGUGCCAGCAGCCGCGGU